GACGAACCGUGCGAACGUUGUUCGGAAUCACUGGGCUUAAAGGGCGCGUAGGCGGGCUGUCAAGUCUGGGGUGAAAUGCUGCGGCUCAACCGUAGAACUGCCUUAGAUACUGACGGCCUCGAGGAAGGUAGGGGCAUGCGGAACUGUAGGUGGAGCGGUGAAAUGCGUAGAUAUCGGAAGGAACACCGGUGGCGAAAGCGGCGCGCUGGACCUCUUCUGACGCUGAGGCGCGAAAGCCAGGGGAGCGAACGGG
rnacentral:rRNA from 1 species